AAACAGUGAGAGUUUCACAUUUUGCAUUUUCUGUGGAUUCACAAAUGCACAUUUUGAAAACAAACAUUGUUACAUAUAAAUUUUAGGAUUCGGUUUCCAAUAUCUGUCAGCGUCACAUUGUUGCUAAUGAUUGGUUGAUAGUGGUUCCCUAAAAACUCAGUGAGUUAAAUGUAAAUAUUUCGUGUUUCUAAGAUCAACUACAGCUUCUGACUAUACUCCUAAAAACUUCACUGUGAAGUUAAAAUAUCUCUCCCAGCAGAUUGUUCCUUGUAAUGCAUUGAGCCAUACAGCUUCCAGAUCUUUUAUAAAUCAUUAAUAU